UCCGUAGGUGAACCUGCGGUUGGAUCAUUAAAAAGAUCUUGGCCUGUACCUUCCUUCUGGACUGCUUGCGGACCAUGUUGGAAUGGAACAGGCUAAGUUCCCCGAAAAUGGGAACUAACAUCAUGUGAACUGUUCUGUCUCUGGCGGUGGGAUGGCUAAACACCAUCUGUCAGCAUCCAAGGUUAUCCUCGGUGUGCCGUGGACAAGCCGCCAACGGUGUAUGUUUCAUACAAACUUUUUGUUUCAUUCAAAUUGUCUGACCUACCUUUGUAUCAAAAAAUACAAAAACAACUUUUGGCAACGGAUCUCUUGGCUCCCGCAACGAUGAAGAACGCAGCGAAAUGCGAUAUGUAGUGUGAAUUGCAGAAUUCAGUGAAUCAUCGAAUCUUUGAACGCACAUUGCGCUCUCUGGUAUUCCGGGGAGCAUGCUCGUUUCAGAAUCAUUAAUAAUCUCAAAGAAACGGUCAUUGUUUUGAAUGAUGCCGCUUCUUUCGGAUGUGAGCCUCUUUGCCGUUUGGCAAUGGCUUGAAAAUGAUUGUGUUUGCACCAGCUAUACGGCUCGGUUCUCAGCAAGUGCAACAGAUGUUCAUUCAUUCGUUUUCUCUUGGACAGGACUGUUGUUGAAUACUGGUAGUUCACUCAAAACCAAAACUUUCAGUGAUCCUUGGAUCAUUGACUGAUAACUUGGUCUGAAAUCGAGCAAGAAAACCCGCUGAACUUAAGCAUAUCAAUAAGCGGAGGAAAAGAAACUAACAAGGAUUCCCCUAGUAACGGCGAGUGAAGCGGGAACAGCUCAAAUUUGAAAUCUCACAAGGUCACUUGUGCGAAUUGUAGUUUAGAGAAACGUUUUCGGGGGCGACGUGGGUAUAAGUCCUUUGGAAAGAGGCAUCAUAGAGGGUGAGAAUCCCGUUUAUGAUCCACUGCUCGCUCCUAUGUGAUACGUUUUCCAAGAGUCAGGUAGUUUGGGAUUGCUGCCUAAAAUGGGUGGUAAAUACCAUCUAAAGCUAAAUAUUGGCGGGAGACCGAUAGCGAACAAGUACCGUGAGGGAAAGAUGAAAAGAACUUUGAAAAGAGAGUUAAACAGUACGUGAAAUUGCCAAAAGGGAAACGCUUGAAGU
rnacentral:sRNA from 1 species